ACUCCUACGGGAGGCAGCAGUGGGGAAUAUUGGACAAUGGGGGAAACCCUGAUCCAGCCAUGCCGCGUGUGUGAAGAAGGCCUUCGGGUUGUAAAGCACUUUCAGUGGGGAGGAAAGGUUGAUGGUUAAUACCUAUCAGCUGUGACGUUACCCACAGAAGAAGCACCGGCUAACUCCGUGCCAGCAGCCGCGGUAAUACGGAGGGUGCAAGCGUUAAUCGGAAUUACUGGGCGUAAAGCGCGCGUAGGUGGCUAAUUAAGUCAAAUGUGAAAUCCCCGAGCUUAACUUGGGAAUUGCAUUCGAUACUGGUUAGCUAGAGUAUGGGAGAGGAUGGUAGAAUUCCAGGUGUAGCGGUGAAAUGCGUAGAGAUCUGGAGGAAUACCGAUGGCGAAGGCAGCCAUCUGGCCUAAUACUGACACUGAGGUGCGAAAGCAUGGGGAGCAAACAGGAUUAGAUACCCUGGUAGCUA
rnacentral:rRNA from 1 species